rnacentral:rRNA from 1 species
CCUACGGGUGACUGCAGUGAGGAAUAUUGGUCAAUGGGCGCGAGACUGAACCAGCCAAGUAGCGUGAGGGAUGACUGCACUGCGGGUUGUAAACUUCUUUUGUAAGGGAAUAAAGUGGGGCACGUGUGCCUGGUUGUGUGUACUUGAUGAAUAAGGAUCGGCUAACUCCGUGCCAGCAGCCGCGGUAAUACGGAGGAUCCGAGCGUUAUCCGGAUUUAUUGGGUUUAAAGGGAGCGUAGAUGGGUUGUUAAGUCAGUUGUGAAAGUUUGCGGCUCAACCGUAAAAUUGCAAUUGAUACUGGCAGUCUUGAGUACAGUUGAGGUAGGCGGAAUGCGUGGUGUAGCGGUGAAAUGCUUAGAUAUCACGAAGAACUCCGAUUGCGAAGGCAGCUUACUAACCUGCCACUGACACUGAGGCUCGAAAGUGUGGGUAUCAAACAGGAUUAGAUACCCGAGUAGUC